rnacentral:rRNA from 1 species
GAUGAACGCUGGCUACAGGCUUAACACAUGCAAGUCGAGGGGAAACGACUGUGAAGCUUGCUUCCCCUGGCGUCGACCUGCGCACUGGUUAGUAACGCGUAUCCAACCUGCCUCUGACUGAGGGAUAACCCUUCGAAAGUCGCCCUAAUACCUCAUGGCAUCGUCUGCGGUCAUCCAACGACGCUUAAAGAUUUCAUCGGUCGGAGAUGGGGAUGCGUCUGAUUAGCUUGUUGGCGGGGUAACAGCCCACCUAGGCGACGAUCAGUAGUGGUGCUGAAGGGAAGGUACCCUAGAUUGGAACGGAGACACGGUCCAAACUCGUACGGGAGGGAGCAGUGAGGAAUAUUGGGCAAUGGGCGAGAGCCUGAACCAGCCAAGUAGCGUGCAGGAGGACGGCCCUAGGGGUUGUAAACUGCUUUGAUGGGAGGAUAAAGUGAGGGACGUGUCCUUCAUUGCAGGUACCGCAUGAAUAAGGACCGGCUAAUUCCGUG